CGCUCAUCCAGAGGGGCAGAGGGAACGGCCCGUUGAAGCCCCGGCAACCCUCCAGCCGGUCCUGAUUCUCAUCGAAGCGGGGCCCCGGCUAGGGAAGGUGCCAAUUCCGGCUCGCGACGAGAUGCGUCGCGAGGAAGAUGAGGA
rnacentral:ncRNA from 2 species